rnacentral:rRNA from 1 species
AGAGUUUGAUCCUGGCUCAGGAUAAACGCUGGCGGCGUGCCUAACACAUGCAAGUCGAACGCUCUGCGCAAGCAGAGAGUGGCGGACGGGUGAGGAACACGUGGGUCAUCUACCUUGAGGUGAGGAAUACCGGCGAGAAAUCGCCGACAAUACCGCAUACCCUUGGCAACAAGGAAAGUUCAGCAAUGAACGCCACAAGA